CGAAUGUUUAGCUCGUUCGUUUCAACUACAAGUAUGCUGUACACUGUUUAGCCAGACAGGAGAUAUAAAUUAUACUUUCGUAGUGCAAGAUGAGAUGAGGCUGAAACAAGAAUUGUUAUGUUUGUCGAGAGGAUCACAUUGAUACGAGUUCUGUACCUACAUUUAUGAGCUAUGGUGAUAUGAAAAUUAAACUGAAGAAAUGGAGAAUAAUGAUAGAACCGUACAGAAUAUGAGCAAUGAUGUAUUGUUAAAUGGUGAGCUGCAGUUGGAAAAGGCAAACGGAAAAAUUCUAGGCCAUCAAAACUUUUCUAACCAACUUAUAAACGGCCAGGGAAGUAGUCAAUGUACUACCAUACUUAAACACUGUAAAAAAGUGCAUAUUGGUCCAAAAAUCGAAUAUCAUAAUCAUCUGCCGACCACAUCUGAUCCAAUUA
rnacentral:lncRNA from 1 species